GGUGAAGAAGCAAAAUGGUUAUGCAUUUGUUUGCAAAACAAAUAUAAGUAAGUUCAAAUCUUACCUUCACUU
rnacentral:tRNA from 1 species